rnacentral:rRNA from 1 species
AACGAACGCUGGCGGCAGGCUUAACACAUGCAAGUCGAACGCCCCGCAAGGGGAGUGGCAGACGGGUGAGUAACGCGUGGGAAUCUACCCAGAUCUUCGGAACAACUGAGGGAAACUUCAGCUAAUACCGGAUACGCCCUACGGGGGAAAGAUUUAUCGGUUCUGGGUGAGCCCGCGUUGGAUUAGCUAGUUGGUGGGGUAAUGGCCUACCAAGGCGACGAUCCAUAGCUGGUCUGAGAGGAUGAUCAGCCACACUGGGACUGAGACACGGCCCAGACUCCUACGGGAGGCAGCAGUGGGGAAUAUUGGACAAUGGGCGAAAGCCUGAUCCAGCCAUGCCGCGUGAGUGAUGAAGGCCUUAGGGUUGUAAAGCUCUUUUAGUGGGGAAGAUAAUGACGGUACCCACAGAAAAAGCCCCGGCUAACUUCGUGCCAGCCGCCGCGGUAACAC